AAGUCGUAACAAGGUUUCCGUAGGUGAACCUGCGGAAGGAUCAUUAACACGUAUCCACGUUAAAAUCAAACCACCACGAACUGUGCUCCCUGGCCUCCAACUUCUUCGCUGUCUUACAUGGGUUGUAAUGGGUUGCGGCUUGCCGUGACAUACCUGUGUCUGACUGUCACUCCUCUUUCGAGAGAGAGUGUGGCGGAGAGACCGGUCGCUAGGCUUAUUUUAAUCAAACCACUUUCUCAACCAUUUUGAGCGAGUGGCGCGAUGCCCCAAUCCAAAUUUCACCCUAUUUUACCUAUUUGACUAAUUUAACGAGUUCCUGGGAGAAAUCCUAUGGAAUGACCUAAGAUUUAUCUUAACUAAGCACAACUCUUAGCAAUGGAUAUCUUGGUUCUC
rnacentral:misc_RNA from 1 species